rnacentral:rRNA from 1 species
UGCCCAAUGAUUUAUUUAAUGGCUGCAGUAUUAUGACUGUACAAAGGUAGCAUAAUCAUUAGUUUUUUUAUUGAAAGCUGGAAUGAAUGAAUCUACGAAAAAUUAACUGUCUCUAUUUAAAAUAUAAAAUUUUAUAUUUAAGUAAAAAAGCUUAAAUUUAAUUAAAAGACGAGAAGACCCUAUAGAGUUUUAUAUUUUAAAAAUAAAAAUUAUUUUAAAAAUAUUUUAUUGGGGUGAUAGAAAAAAAUACUUAACUUUUUUUAUAUUUAAACAAUAAUAUUUGAACAAUUGAUCCAUUUUAUUGAUUAUAAGAUUAAAUUACCUUAGGGAUAACAGCGUAAUAUUUUUUUAAAGUUCAUAUUAAAAAAAAUGAUUGCGACCU